rnacentral:tRNA from 1 species
GAGGAUGUAAUUCAAAUGGUAAAGCACUUGUUUUGCAUGCGAGAGGUACAGGGUUCAAUCCCCUGCAUUUCUA